rnacentral:rRNA from 1 species
AAAACUCAAAAACUUAGUCUCAGUUCGGAUUGUAGGCUGAAACUCGCCUACAUGAAGCUGGAGUUGCUAGUAAUCGCGAAUCAGCAUGUCGCGGUGAAUAACGUUCCCGGGCCUUGUACACACCGCCCGUCACACCAUGAGAGUUGGCAAUACCCAACGUACGUGAUCUAACCCGCAAGGGAGGAAGCGUCCUAAGGUAGGGUCAGCGAUUGGGGUGAAGUCGUAACAAGGUAAC